UACGUAGGCAGCGAGCGUUGUUCGGAGUUACUGGGCGUAAAGGGUGUGUAGGCGGUCGUUUAAGUUUGGUGUGAAAUCUCCCGGCUCAACCGGGAGGGUGCGCCGAAUACUGAAUGACUUGGAGUGCGGGAGAGGUGAGUGGAAUUCCUGGUGUAGCGGUGAAAUGCGUAGAUAUCGGGAGGAACACCAGUGGCGAAGGCGACUACCUGGCCUGUUCUUGACGCUGAGGCGCGAAAGCUAGGGGAGCAAACGGG
rnacentral:rRNA from 1 species